ensembl:lncRNA
UAGCGGAAGGCGGCUCUCGGUCAUGUGACCUGGAGAUCAAAGGGGAGAUCCUCUUGACCUCUUUCUUCCAAACACAGAGGGAGCCCCCCAACCCCCCAACUCACUUCCAGGCCUCUCAGCAGCUCUGCAGGGCCCAGAGGCCACUCCGUGUGCUUCUGCCGACUCGGUUGUGACCGGACAGGCAGCAUCUCUCCAGGUGCUCAACAAACUCCAGGGUGACGGCAUCGCUAAGUUUUGGUUUGGGUUGAGAAGAAUGUUUGAAAAUCUAAACAUCCAAGCGUUCAACCGCAUGAAUCAUCGGGGAACGAAACUCUCCAGCAUAAUCCAUCUACUGGAAGGUCAUGGGAUUUCAGUGCUAAAACAGAAAAUAUCAGGCAAACCAGAAGGAUUUGGUCACCCUAAAUUUAAUGAUUGGUUUUCCCUCCAUGCUGUGACUUGAACUCUGUGAUCUCCAGGUUUGAAGCUGGAGGAGGUGUUGGGAUGACAAAGGAUAGAGGCAGACACAACUUUCUAUCUGGUGGCCAUAGCUCCAGCUCUGCAGAAUUCUCCAAGGGCUUGGAAUAUUUGAAAGCUGCCCUAUUUUCUCGAGUUUAACACAGUUUAUUUUCCCAUAUGUUAACAUUUAUGAAAUUGGGAUCUGUAACGCAAACCCUGUCAAAAAGAUUUGCCUGCUGCUGGGCGGAGAAGUGAGGUGCCAAGACAGUUGGCACUGCCUAUGGCCACACAAGCUUUGCCAGCGUAGAAGUAUCUCUUCAUCCACUUCACCACUCCUGGUUCACUGUUUGCAUUGUGGCACCACACGCUAUUAACAUAUCAGUGGAUAUGUGUCCUAGUGGUCACCGAAAAUGUCUUAAAAAGCUUUCACUGCUUUACUGUAUUGAAGCAGAAGUCACCUCGUGUGCACACACUGAGCAUUACACCUUGCCCCACGACAGAGGGUACAUUACAAAAAUUUUCAAAACUGGGAGAAAUUGGUGUGACCCCUUCAUGCAUCAUAAAAAAACUAUUAUUUAGGCCUCAAAAUCUUUUAAAGGUUUCUAGUGACUUUCAACAGAAGCUGCUUAAUGCUCUUUAAAAAAGGAAAAACGAAAUUAUAAGUUUAACCAAAGAGGAAAUGCCAACACACCCCUAGGGUUCUCUGUGAUGCCUUCAAAUUACAUUGUCAAUCUUAACUGUGCGGCAAAGGCCAAAGUAUUUAGUAUGACUGAAAGACAGUGUCUCCUCGUCAGGCUGUGAAUAACUGUAGGUGUCCAAAAUGACUUGGGAAAAUAUUUAGUUUCUGAUUCUGAAAUACGCUACAGAGACUUCCCUGGUGAUCCAGUGGCCAAGACUCUGAGCUCCCAAUGCAAGGGGCCUGGGUUCAAUCCCUAGUCAGGAAAUUAGAUCUCACGUGCUGCAACUAAGACCCAGCAGAGUCAAAUAAAUGAAUUUUUUUUUUUAAAAAAAAGAAAUAAGCUGCAGCUAAAGUCUGGUAAUAAAAGCAGCAUAUAAUUGUGAAGAGUAGGAGGUGUGUGUCUAGAAUCUUUUUUAUUUUAUUUUUUUUGCAAGUGGAUGCUCAGUUGUCCCAGAACUGUUUGUUGAGAAGACUAUCUUUUCUCCACUGUGUUUCCUUUGCUCUUUUGUCAAAGAUCAGUUAGUUAUAUUUAUUGGGGUCUGUUUCUGGGUUCUGUAUUCUGUUUCACUAAUCCAUUUGUCUGUUCUUUUGCCAACACCAUGCUGUUUUGAUUGUCAUAACUUUCCAGCUUGAACGCAGGUAGUGUCC